rnacentral:rRNA from 1 species
UACGUAGGCAGCGAGCGUUGUUCGGAAUUACUGGGCGUAAAGAGUGUGUAGGCGGUGCUCCCAGUCUGUUGUGAAAUCUCCCGGCUUAACUGGGAGGGUGCAGCGGAAACUAGAGUGCUAGAGGGUGGGAGAGGUAGGCGGAAUUCCUGGUGUAGCGGUGAAAUGCGUAGAUAUCAGGAGGAACACCUGUGGUGUAGACAGCUUACUGGACCACUUCUGACGCUGAGACACGAAAGCGUGGGUAGCAAACAGG